rnacentral:rRNA from 1 species
AUUGAACGCUGGCGGCAGGCCUAACACAUGCAAGUCGAACGAGUGGCGGACGGGUGAGUAAUGUCUGGGAAACUGCCUGAUGGAGGGGGAUAACUACUGGAAACGGUAGCUAAUAACGCAUACCAUCGGAUGUGCACAGAUGGGAUUAGCUAGGAGGGGGGGUAACGGCUCACCGAGGCGACGAUCCCUAGCUUGUCUGAGAGGAUGACCAGCCACACGGGAACUGAGACACGGUCCAGACUCCUACGGUAGGCAGCGGUGUGGAAUAUUUCACAAUGGGCGCAAGCCUGAUGCAGCCAUGCCGCGUGUAUGAAGAAGGCCUUCGGGUUUUAAAGUACUUUCAGCGGGGAGGCGUUACCCGCAGAAGAAGCACCGGCUAACUCCGUGCCAGCAGCCGCGGUAAUAC